GUCUACGGCCACGCCGCCCUGAAUAAUGAUGUCUGAUCUCAGAAGCUAAGCAGGGCCAGGCCUGGUUAGUACUGGAUGGCAGACCACCUAGGAAGACCAGGUGCUGUAGGCA
rnacentral:rRNA from 1 species